CCUCCCACAAGCAACCAACAGUCAGUGAAUGACAUUAGCAGGCCCAUUCAGUCAGCAGUCAGCAGAAUGGUGGUCAUCAGACAGAGAGUGAGGUAAGAGGCAGAUCCCAGCCUUCUCCCAGGGAGCUUUCCAACUCACCCAGCCUGGCGUCAGCAGGUUGUAGAGCAGCAGAGACAACUUGCAACAUCAACAGUGCAUUUGGCCAGGAACUGCUAAUAAACAUUCAGUGCAGUGGUGGUUCAAGAAGUUUUGCAGAGGAGACAGGAGCCUUGAAGAUGAGAAGCAUAGUGGCCAGCCAUCAGAAGUUGACAACGACCAAUUGAGAGCCAUCAUCGGAGCUGAUCCUCUUCCAGUUACAUGAGAAGUUGCAUAAGAACUCAAUGUUGACCUUUCUAAAGUUGCUCAGCAUUUGAAGCAAAUGGGAAAUGUGAAAAAUAAGUGGGUACAUCAUGAGCUGACCAUAAAUCAAAAAAAUCGUUGUUUUGAAGUGUUGUCUUCUCUUAUUCUACUCAACAACAACAAACAGUUUCUCAAUCAGAUCAUGAUGUGUGAUGAAAAGUGGAUUUUAUAAACAACCAGUGAUAACCAGCUCAGUGGUUGGACUGAGAAGAAGCUCCAAAGCUCCCAAAGCCAAACUUGUACCAAGAACAGGUCAUGGUCACUGUUUGGUGGUCUGCUGCCAGUCUGAUCCACUACAACUUUCUGAAUCCUGGCAAAACCAUUGCAUUUGAGAAGUAUGCUCAGCAAAUUGAUGAGAUGCACUGAAAACUGCAAUGCCUGCAGCUGAUACUGAUCAACAGAAUGGGCCCAAUUCUUUUCCAUGACAACGCCCUACUUCACCUCGUAUAACCAACAGUUCAAUCACUGAAUGAAUUUGGCUUUGAAGUUUUGCCUCAUCCGCCAUAUUCACAUGACCUCUCACUAAUCAGCUAUCACUUCAUCAAGCAUCUGGACAACUUUUUGCAGGGAAAAUGCUUCCACAACCAGCAGGAUGCAGAAAAUGCCUUCCAAGAGUUAAUUGAAUUCUGAAGCAUGGAUUUUUACACUACAAAGUUAUUUGUAAACACACUUAUUUCUUGUUGGCAAAAAUGUGUUGAUUGUAAUGGUUCCUAUUUUGAUUAAUAAAGAUGUGUUUGAGCCUAGUUAUAAUGAUUUAAAAUUCACUGUCUGGAACCACAAUUAUUUUGUACCAAGUUAAUAUUUUCUGGCUCUCCUGAUUGGCGUUAAGACUGAACUUCAGCUCAUCUAAGUCCUGGGACCAGCAGUGAAGAGUAUCAGCUUCAUCGAGUUUGGAGGUGAUGAGAGACUGUUGGAGGUUCCAGUUUGUCCUCACAGGUUCCAGUUUGCCUUUUUUCUUUCCUGCUCCAUGACCAGGUUUUUUUCCUGACUGUUGGCCCUGCUGACCUAAGGCAGUUGGUUUCAGGUCCACUACCAGAUUUCUGUAACUUCUUUACCAACUCCAAUUGCAUAACCAACCCUUUACUUCAUGUCGCUCAUAAUGGUCCUGCUUCCUUGAUCAGACUCACAGAUAGAGACGCAUUGUAUCAGAGAUGUAAAAGUCACAUGUUCCAGUGGCCACAUGAGUGACAUAAAUGAGUGCAGCAGGUCUGCUGUCAGAAAGUUCGUGCAGCCUUCUUCAUCUGUUCUUCUUUUUCCCACUUUUGGUACAGAUGUGAAACCAACAAAAUAUGCCUCUACAGUAAGAAAAACAGCAGCAGAAGCAUAUUGAUAAGUUACAUGCGACUCUUGCCUUAGUACCAAGGAGGCAAUGGGGAGAGUGGGCACUGCCAAACAGGGAAGGGUGGACCUCAAGUAGAGAGCAUCUCUGCUUCCAUGCUUCAGUAG
ensembl:lncRNA